GUUAUCACAAGGUGUUUGGGGGUUUUUGUUAUCAUUACAAACAGUUAGCCUCUUCAACUUUUUUAUUUAUGAAGGGAAGCUGUAAAAUGAUAGUUUGACAUUUGUUUUUAAUUUGCAGAUUGAUAUGUGCAGUGUAGCUCAUUGCACUUACUGCAGUUUAGAAUAAGAAAAUACCAUGCCUCAUUAUUGCUACACAAGAUGACUUCUUUUGGUCUUGUUUAAUGUUAACAAUAUCAUCAGUUCUAUCUAAACUAUAUUUGAUUUUUUUACCUGUGUGCUAGUGGUUAGAAUUUAUCCUUUACCACUGUGAAAAAGGUAACAAAUUCUGUUUAGCCGUACUUAAGUAAUUCUGUUGACAUUUAGAGUAACUAUUUUUAAAGAUUUUGACUGGAAUGUGUAGUUCAUGACUGGAAUAUAUUAGUUCAUGUUCAUUCAUGCAGUUUUUUUGUUAAAAAAAGUAUAAAAAAGAAAUCAUGCUGUGAUAAGCAAUUGUAUUGUAAAGUAGACUUUUUGCACCGAUGUGUAGUUUGACACUGAGAUUGUUGUUAACCUUUGUAACUCUCUCUGCCAAGUGAACAAACUAGGAUGGUAUCUGAAAUCUGCUUAAUUCAAUGUAAGUCUGUUUGGUCAAGGUGUUCCUAGUGUGAAUGAUCACCAGCCUCAUUAGAGAAGACUUCUCAGUUAUACUUUACUGUAGCUGUACAGACAAAGCCCAAAUGUUCCCUUUCAGUUACCAGUUGCAUAGAUUCAUCUGCACAGUUGAGUCAAAGCAUUGAGUGACUUUGGAGAAUGAAUUUGGCACUUUGUCUGCUGGGAGUAAUCCCUUUAUGUAGCUUUAUAUUGUUAUGGUAUUUUGGAGGUGCUUACAUUGCCUUUUCUGAGCCCAUCAGCAGAGCUGUCAGAUAAUGUCUGGGGGAGUUUUUGCUUGAUCUUGUGAAAGGUUGUGGGGAGAGAAAAGGGAAACUGUGAUCCAGGGAAGAGUGUGGUACAGCUGAGAUGCUGGAUCUGUUGCAUACUAAUGUCUAGGACUGCUUCUGAUUACCUGAAGCUCUAUCAACUUGAAGCAUCUGUAGGAGGGAAGUGAAGCAGCUGGGAGAGGUGGCACGUGGAGGGAGUGGAGGAGUACUUAGGGCUGCACUGGAAACAGGAUAAUUCUUGGACUGCUGUGUGCUCUGAAGCACUGGAUGUGGAGUAGCACAGUUAAAACAACAUGUAUAUCUUGAGCCAUGGAGUAGCACAGUUAAAACAACAUGUAUAUCUUGAGCCAUGGCCCACCAUAGGUAUUGGGAAGUCCUGUUUGUAUUCUCAGUUUUGCUAUAGAGCAGUAGAUAAAAAAAGCCCCACAGCUUUGUGGUCUCUGCAGUAAUUGGGUUUACAAAUGACUGUUUAGGUUGAUUUUUUUUAAUUUUAGUUUUUUAAAAGAUACCUUUUUUUUUUUACUCCCCUGCUCUUCUGCAUUGAUUAUUAGUAUUUUCCCGUGUGGUGCUUUGGUCAAACACUUAAAUAUCAGUUCCAUAGUUGCUAAUUUUGGUGAUUCCACAAAGCUCAUUCAACACUUUACAUUUGGAUUUAAGGUUUGUGCUGAAUUUGUUUAGAUAGAUAAUAUUUCUACCCAACAUUGCACUGUGUUCUUUCUGUUAUAUCCGUAUGCCCAUGGCAACACCGUUUUCACCUGAUUUUAUUACAUUAACUGAAGCUUUCUCCAUUUGCUCACUAUAUUUUUAGCAAGAGAUCAUGAUGUUUCUCUCUAAGAUGCUGUUCUGUAACAGAAUUGUCUGGUAUUUUUGACGUUCAUCUUUACUCUGAGCCCUUCGUGUGAAGGACAAGUGGGUAAAAAGAAUAUCACAAAUACCAUUUUCGUGUAGAAGGGCUCCUAAUAUUUUCAGAUGUGAACAAAAAGUUCACUGUACUGACUACUAGAUGGCAUUGACUCAUUUUUUUAUGAAAGAUUAAGGGUAAUUGACUCUGGGAAGUAAUAGGCAAAUACAGCUACUCCUACAUUGCAGAAAUAUUGCAUACCAAAAGGACAAUUUAGCUGUUGUUUAAGUGUUCAGAACACAGACUGGCAAAUGACAUUCUACUGUUUUCUGUGGUGUUUGCGUCAGUGAAAAUUGGCCAUGGAUGGGCCAAAAAAAAACCUCUACUUAGGUGUAACUGCUGGCUAUUGGAUAUGGUCUGCACGUUUAUACUCUUGUGUUUCUUGACCUGACAGGAGUCCUACACAAAACAGCCUUUGUUGUUUUUCUUUGGGAGUACAGUGGUGUUGCUUGAUGUGCCCCCUGGAGGUUGAAACCCCGACGUGGUUCUGCUCUUGUGGGACCCUUCCAGUGAAGUUUUUGUAAGGAGUGAAAAUCCUCCCAUAAUUUAUCAUCCUAUCUUAGAGAAAACACCUCGCAACAUCAAGAGUCAUCUUAAGAAGCAAAAUUAUUUAGAAAUACAGGAAGAACUUAAAAGGGGCCUAGAAAAAUUGCUCUCACUUCACAGAACAGAGAUGAACUUGUGAAGAAUUACAUUAUAAUGAGAAAAGAACAUUUCACACCCCUGUAUUUUAUGUGGCAAUGUCUUCAAGCAUGGUGUUGUUGAAGCAGUGAAUUUAGCAAGAGACAGAAUUUGAAGCUCUCUGAAGUGGCUGUAGUUGUUUAAAAUUUUUUUAGAAGCACUAUGAAGUUUUAUUUUUCAGAUGUUUAGAGAGCAAUUGUAGCUAAUAGGACUCAGGAGUCCUCAUGGCUUAUCACGCUCUUGGAUAUAUCUUGGGAAUGUUGCUUGGAUUCAGUGCAAAUCCCUGUUUGAUCCAGCCUAGUAGUUCCUGUGAUUCUUAAGAAUGCAGCUGUUAAUGGCUAUUUAGCAGGUUCCACUGAUGUUUUUUAGUAUUUGCUUCUUUUCUAGAGUGUUAGUGUUCUUAUCUUCACAGACAUAUGUUUGCUUAUUUUAUAAGUGUCCAGUCAUUCCACAAUCUGUGGCUAUUUUUUGAAUGUUUUGAAUAUUCAAAGCUGAACAUUCAGUAAUUCUGUCAGAAGUGUCAAAAUAUGUCUUAAAUGCUUAGUUGCUUGGUCUGCUAUUUUUCCUUGCUGAGAAGAUUUGAUUGAAUGACUCAUCCAAAGGUCACUGUAUUUCUGAUAUAAUGCUAAAAUCUUGCAAUACAUUGUAUUUUAAGAUGGAUAUUUUUUGUGCUGGGGGCGGGGUAGAAAUCAACAUCCUGAAAGAGAAAGAAAAAUAGUAAUCAAACAUUUUUUUUUCCCUUUGGUGACUUAGUUGUUUUUUCACAUUGCUAAGUUCAAAGGAAGUUAUAGUGAGUAUAUAGUACUCAUGUUGUGGCUGGUGAACAUUUAUCCAGUUGGAAAGUUGUACUUUCUGAGCUGGACCCGAGCAGUCAUCAGUUCUGACAUGCAUGUUUCUUUUGGGUUUUAAUGUAUUUGGCACUGCACUCAUUACUCAAAAUCAGUGAAACAUGAAAGAAAGAAGAAAAGUUUCUGGAGAAGCCAGAGGCAUCUUGUGUUUCUACUCCACUGACAGUUAAGUCUACAUAGGUUGUACGUAGGGGUAACAAAACCCAAAUAUCUGUGUUGGAGCUACUGCAGAGGUUGCUUCAAAAUAAUUUUCUACACUUGGCCUUUAAUAGAUUUUCAUUAAUUGAUUAAUAUGUAUUAUUAAAUAGGGUGUAAUAGGUGUUUUAAAGCAGUGAACAUGUAUCUGCAUGCCCAGAAGCAAAAGACUCAGUUAAGACCUGAGAAGUUCUAGACUGUUCAAAUACAUAAAAUAUGGCUUGUUAAGUAUGUCUUUUACCUGUGCUUUUGAAUAAGUUUGGGAUUUAUGAAAAGGUAAAUGAUUUUGACUUUUGAGGAGGAAAAUAGAGCCUGGUCUGAGUGGAAAGGCUGAAAAAGCAGCAAUAAUAUAGUAGAUUUCAGUUAAUAGUAUACAAUUAAUGUAAUUGAUAGAAAGAAAGGGAUAGACUAGGGUUUUCUGAAUUGUACUGAAAGUAAUGAACCAUCAGUAAAACUUGUUAAAGCUGUAUUUCUCGUCAGUCUACUGCCACAUUAAAAAAGAAACUACACCUGCACUUCUUAAGAGUGUGACUUCUUAGUAACUUCACUUCUGUGAGUAACAGCUGCAAAAUUUUGUCUCUGUUACUUUUAUGAAUUAGUACAGAGCAGUGGGUUAGGAUGCUAAGAAUUUUAGUGAAACUACUGAUGAGUGAGUAAACAGUAGUUUAGCAUAGGUUUACUGCUUACUUAAAAAAUGCAGAAAUAGCAGAUUUUGAUUAUGGGCUAGUAGAGAGAGGAGAAAGUGCUGUUAGAAAUCUUGGUUUUGAUUUAGCAAAGUGCAUUAGCAGGAGCACAUCAAAACUGUCUUAAGCAAUUGUUUAUCCUUUCAGUCUGUUUCUAGUAUGUGGUUCCAUUUUCUGAGAUAAUGCUGAUAACAAGCAGUACCAGAUACUGUGGGUCAUGGCAUUCUUUUCAUAGUGAUUUUCAGCUUGUGAUUCAGUGCACCUGCAACUUCAGCCCUGUAGCUAUGAUUUUAUGCUCUUAACAUCUACAUUGCCCUACAUUACCUUUCUGGUUUUUUUGCUUUUGUCAUCCAUUUAGAUGUAAAGAGAUCAAAAUUUUUGGUCCAGGAAGGAAUGAAUAAUGAACUUCAUGACUAUAAAUUUAGAAGGUGUUUUCCGUAGACCAGUAGAAAAAUUAAGACAAGCUGUGGUGUAGGAAAUUUUUGGGAUAUAUCUUGAUUCUAAAAAUAUAUUGCAUCUGUGCUCUUGCCUGCCCUAACCUAGAAGGGCAACCUGAAGAGAACAGAUAAACAUUCAUUUCAUAUUCUUAUGCUGAAUUACUGAAGUCUUAAUAGUGUGGAGUUUUAAAUACAGCUCUCUUGAAGAGAAGAAUUUUUUAAGGGUGGUUUUAGCUUCUAAUCAGGGCUCUGCAAAAAUACUUACUUUCCUUCUGCUUAGAUUGAGAAAUAAGCAGUGUGUGUCAUCAGGAGGGAGGAAAAGAGGCAUGGGCAGUUUACUCAAGGAGGCAUUUUCCUAUUGCUGACAACUUGGUUACAUUUCAAGAGUUCUUUUUCCCUUUUUUCACCCUAAGUAUUUGCUGUGAAGUCCUCCUGUGUAAGUGACACAAAUCAGUUGUUUCUGCCGCAUAAUCUGCUUUUUCCUUGUGUAGGAAAGAAAGUGCACAUUCAUUUUUUGAACAUACAAAAAAAAACCAGUCAUAUGUCACCUUUUUAAGCAUGUCUUCCUCUCAAGAUGUCACAUAAAUCCUAAUUUAUUACGUAUAUUAAAUUGGAGAGUGUUCUAGUCCCUAUAAAUGAAAUCUCUAAUCAUGGAAAUCGUGCUGUGCAUCUUCUCCAGCCCAAAACAGAAGGGGAAGUAAUGCUGUUCUCUUGAGUUGUUCAAACUGACCUUUGUAAAUGACUUGCAAGAGAGAGCUGGAAUUCAGACAUUAUUGCAGUGUGCCUUCUUAGCUAUCUGCUAUCUCUCAUGAAGGAAACUUGUCAUUGCUGCAAAAUUUUCUUUUCCUAUCAUGUGGAUGAGGGUGCACUUGGCACAGCCGGGUGUAUUGGCCGCUGGCAUCUGGUAGUUGGGUGGAAAGUCACCAGCUGUGUCCCUUUGUCUAUACCACAUUAGCCAUAAAAAUGGAGUCAAGCUCCACCACCUCUUAAUCUAUAUUAUUUUUUUAAAUAAGAUGUCCUGGAUGUGUCUUUAAUUUUCAGAUUCACCUCUUGUCUGUAGAAUCAUCAAGGUUAUACUAAAUCGGCAGCAAUUUGCUCUUCUAAAAUUAAAGGAAAAUCGUUGCAUUUAAUUAAAAUAAAGCUCUUUAAUUUGGAUUAUGUUGGCAGUUUUCUGCAAAGUGGGAACACCUGGGAUUUACUGAGAGUGAACCAGCUAUUCACAGGCUGGCUCACAAGAAGGAAUUUUAGUAAAAGGGGGAGGGUAGCUUUAGUGGGCUAAGACUGUAAAAUAUACUAAAUUUCAAUUUCUGAGGCCACAAUGAAUGUAAGUAUAAGCAGAAGGAUUUGGAUUUUAUGACCAAGAGGGUGUGGAGAAACAAGUUAAGAUCAUCAUUUAUCUCUGAUGUCUGAAUAAGAAUUUUUUGAGCCAUGAGCAACUCUGUAUCUGGUACCUAGUUUCUUUAUUGUCCCAAAUCAGAAGCUCCCUUUGGGUAAUUUUAUCAAUAGUUGUUUUCAGACCAUUUAUGGUAUUCUGGACCAAAAUCAUCUGAGUGUGAUAUUUAUUUAUUCAGAAUUUAUGAAAAAUUCUACCAGAAGUAACACAAAAGUGAUUUCCAGAGUGGAGAAUAAAUAGCCAAUUGCUGAUUUCAAGGGGGGGAAAGACACAGGUCUCAUUAUAUUGUAAGUGAAAUUUCCAACUGUGUGUGUAAUAAAGUUGUUGGUUUUGUUA